GCCCGGAUGGUCUAGUGGUAUGAUUCGCCCUUAGGGAACAAGCCAAUUUCAAAGCAGGCUUGAACUUUGGGCGAGGUCCCCAGUUCAAUCCUGGGUUCGGGCC